UGAGAAGCCUGAAGUGAAGAAGAGCA
rnacentral:piRNA from 1 species